rnacentral:rRNA from 1 species
CCUACGGGAGGCAGCAGUGGGGAAUAUUGCACAAUGGGGGAAACCCUGAUGCAGCGACGCCGCGUGAGCGAUGAAGGCCUUCGGGUCGUAAAGCUCUGUCCUAAGGGAAGAUAAUGACGGUACCUUAGGAGGAAGCCCCGGCUAACUACGUGCCAGCAGCCGCGGUAAUACGUAGGGGGCGAGCGUUGUCCGGAAUUACUGGGCGUAAAGGGUGCGUAGGCGGUCAUGUAAGUCAGAUGUGAAAGCCCUCGGCUUAACCGAGGUAAGCAUUUGAAACUGCAUAACUUGAGUGCAGGAGAGGAGAGUGGAAUUCCUAGUGUAGCGGUGAAAUGCGUAGAUAUUAGGAAGAACACCAGUGGCGAAGGCGACUCUCUGGACUGUAACUGACGCUGAGGCACGAAAGCGUGGGGAGCGAACAGGAUUAGAUACCCUGGUAGUC